AUUGAACGCUGGCGGCAGGCCUAACACAUGCAAGUCGAACGGUAACAGGAAGAAGCUUGCUUCUUUGCUGACGAGUGGCGGACGGGUGAGUAAUGUCUGGGAAACUGCCUGAUGGAGGGGGAUAACUACUGGAAACGGUAGCUAAUACCGCAUAACGUCGCAAGACCAAAAAGGGGGACCUUCGGGCCUCUUGCCAUCGGAUGUGCCCAGAUGGGAUUAGCUAGUAGGUGGGGUAACGGCUCACCUAGGCGACGAUCCCUAGCUGGUCUGAGAGGAUGACCAGCCACACUGGAACUGAGACACGGUCCAGACUCCUACGGGAGGCAGCAGUGGGGAAUAUUGCACAAUGGGCGCAAGCCUGAUGCAGCCAUGCCGCGUGUAUGAAGAAGGCUUUCGGGUUGUAAAGUACUUUCAGCGGGGAGGAAGGGAGUAAAGUUAAUACCUUUGCUCAUUGACGUUACCCGCAGAAGAAGCACCGGCUAACUCCGUG
rnacentral:rRNA from 1 species